rnacentral:tRNA from 1 species
UCCGCAAUCGUUCAGGGAUAGACCGAUCAGUUGUUAACGAUCGGUGGCAGGUUCGAAUCCUGCUGCGGAA